rnacentral:rRNA from 1 species
GAUGAACGCUCGCGGCAGGCCUAAUACAUGCAAGUCGAACGGGAUUGCGGUAGUAGCUUGCUACUACUGCAUGAGAGUGGCGCACGGGUGCGUAACGCGUGAGCAACCUACCCAUAUCAGGGGGAUAGCCCGGCGAAAGUCGGAUUAACACCGCAUAACAUCAACAGUUCGCAUGUUCAGUUGAUUAAAUAUUUAUAGGAUAUGGAUGGGCUCGCGUGACAUUAGCUAGUUGGUAGGGUAACGGCUUACCAAGGCAACGAUGUCUAGGGGCUCUGAGAGGAGAAUCCCCCACACUGGUACUGAGACACGGACCAGACUCCUACGGGAGGCAGCAGUAAGGAAUAGUGGUCAAUGGGCGCAAGCCUGAACCAGCCAUGCCGCGUGCAGGAGGACUGCCCUAUGGGUUGUAAACUGCUUUUAUCAGGGAAUAAACCCCUUUACGAGUAGAGGGUUGAAUGUACCUGAAGAAUAAGGAUCGGCUAACUCCGUG